UCCCCCUUUGAUGUUUGUUUAUUUGUUUGUUUUCUUUUUUUUUUAAUACAUACUGUUCAUUGAAGCUUCAAAUACCAAAUGCUUAAAUUUAGCAUUUUAAAAUAAAUGUUUUUAACUAUAGAUAAAUUCAUUACAUGUAUCAAUCUAAACAAGUGGAUUUAAAUUAUGGUCCUAAGGGAUGUCAUUAAGAACAAACUGUUUUUAUGAGACUUUAUAUUUUAAACUUUUGAAGGUCAGAGAUGCUGAAAGAGCAACUCCAGUAAAAGAGGACCGUAGAGAGCAGGUGUUGGUUCCCAUUUCAAAUCUUGAACCUAAAUAACAGGGGUUUGAAAAUGAUGCUACUCUUGUUCUUACUCUCCAAUUUAGAGGUGAUGAAAUCCCCCGGCCUGUGGAUUAUUUGACCAAGAUGCCACCUGACCUUACAUCCUCUGGCAGAUCCUGAUGGGAGUCGUUACAAAGAGGACAAUAUGGCUUUAUGGUGACUUUCACUGACAUGCAAGGUUUUCAGAGACGUUUUCAGCAAGCCCAAGUUCAGAGAAAAGGUGUUGUGAACUGGAGUGCAUUUUCCAGAAAAUAUGGGCAAGAGCUCCGGGUGCCUUACUCGUUGACUUUGAAAUAUACAAGGACUGCCCACCUGGAUAUGUAGGUGAUGGCAGAAGGGGAGUCCUGAAUGGGUUUUAUUCCGACAAGGAGGUUCAGGGCUAUUGCUCAUUUGAUUGUUUUUUCAAUGAUGGAGGGGAACUUCAGGCUGUGUAGAUUGUGUGUGUACGGUUAAUGUACGUGAUUAUCU